rnacentral:lncRNA from 1 species
ACACAAAGCUUGUACAAAACAAUCCUUAAUGUUUAGGAAAAUCAUGAAAAAAUUUGUGUGGGGAAACCAGUCUAAUCUUUUCAGAUCCAGUACACCAACCACUUAGCAAUGCUCCCUACAAUCUGGGAAGAUUUCCUGACCAAUGGAAUACAGAUAAAAUAUGGCAGAGUAUGCAUUAAUCCUUCCAUCGUCUCUUGUUUUAAUAAUAAGUAGAGAGCCAGGACCAUAUAAAUUAGGUAUAUAUAGCUCCUAGAAAAAUAAAAUUUAACUAAAGCUAAAGAAGAUGAACACUUCUUUAAUCAAAUUUCCCACCUUAUUUUAUCUUAUGCACACCUACAAAACAUCUGUAUACAUGCCUUAUAAUAGCUUUUGAUCAACUGCUAUCAAAACAAACUAAAGGAGUAAAAUAAUAUUACUGCUCUUCAGACAUUAAAAAACACAUUUCUAAGCAAUAUUUUGAAAGUCAACAACAACUUUGAAAAAUUAAGUCCUUAUCUUUAUAGACCACAGGCUCGUUAUAAUUAAGUGGGUAGUUUGUUUAUAUUUUAUAUAAGAUUCCCUAAGAACCUAAGAUCCUGCCAGUGUCUAUUUAAGAAAUGGAGAAAAUGUUGGGCGUGGUGGCUCAUGCCUGUAAUCCCAGCACUUUGGGAGGCUGAGGUGGGUGGGUCACCUGAGGUCAGGAGUUCGAGAACAGCGUGGCCAACAUGGUAAAAUCCCAUCUCUACUAAAAAUACAUCAAAUUAUGCUGACACAACCACUUCUAUGCCAUACCCUUUGACAUCUGAUAAAUGUUAUUGUAACAUUUCAUAUAAAGUAUCAGAAUAUGGAUUCUGCCUUUGUAGGGGGUGUGUGUGGGAAGGGAGACGAGGGAGGAGUCAGAUUUUUCUGUUCCUAUCCUUCAAAACCACAAGCUAAAAGCUAUACACCUAGGUGAACACUUUCCAUUUCCAAUAGGCCUUGUCCAUUUUUCCCUUCUCGAUGGUUUAAAAUGGUUCCCAGGCACACGUGUAAUUAAAUUCAUUAUCUUAAAAAACUGCUUCAGGAAAUGCAGCAAUCAAAUCUGCUACCAUCUGUUUUUUAUAGAUAGGUAUAAUUACAACCUAAUAGGCAUCAUUUAAUCAAGACUUAACAAUUAGGUUCUUAAAUCCAAAACUUGAUCAUUUUCUUCCUUGAUAUGUGUACAAAAUUUUCUCCCAGGUGGUGGUCAUGUAAAGUGAAGGAUGGAAGAACUAUUAAAACCCUUAUCAUAAUGGCCUUCCUAAAGUGCUAAUUAUUACACAAUUGAGACAGACAUAACUAGAAAGCCUAAGAAAAUCUAAUGCAAUCUCACAGAAGCUUUUCAAAAUUUUUUUCCAUCUCUAUCUCCAAACUACCUACCAAAAAACCCAAAAUACAAAGGAGGACCUCUCGCCUGUGACUUCUAAACAAGCAAAGUCAGGAGUACCACCACACCUUCCCCCGGUUCUAACAUCACCUAGUCAGAUCUUUAGAGCAGAAAAGCAAUCCUAUUUGUUACCUUGUUUCCCAUCCCGCAUUUUAAGAGAUAAGAAACCCAGGACCUGAAAAGUGAGUAUUUUCCUAAGGCACUCGGUGAAACCUGGACUAGAACCUAGAUGUCCCUCCAUAAAAAACAAGAUUUUGUACUCUUACUCCACUCCACCACGUGAGUGGGGAAAAGCAGAGUUUUGAGGGCCUACAAUCCUCAAGUCUGAUCACUGGGUCUCUCACAUCUAAUUACAAUAUCCAGCCCCAUUUCCAACUUAAUAAGAUUAAUUCUUUGUCACUGAUGCUCAAUAGUAACUCUUGCUACUCCCAGCAGCCAACACCCUAGUUUGAAAGACAUGCAGGUCACCAGUGCAUCU